UACGUAGGCAGCGAGCGUUGUUCGGAGUUACUGGGCGUAAAGCGUGCGUAGGCGGUGGUCCAAGUCUGGUGUGAAAUCUCCCGGCUCAACUGGGAGGGUGCGCCGGAAACUGGGCCGCUGGAGUACGGGAGAGGCAAGCGGAAUUCCAGGUGUAGCGGUGAAAUGCGUAGAUAUCUGGAGGAACACCGGUGGCGAAGGCGGCAUCCUGGACCGACAUUGACGCUGAGGCGCGAAAGCCAGGGGAGCAAACGGG
rnacentral:rRNA from 1 species